rnacentral:rRNA from 1 species
CGAAAGUGUGGGGAGCGAACAGGAUUAGAUACCCUGGUAGUCCACACAGUAAACGAUGGGCACUAGUUGUGGGAACCUUCCACGGUUUCUGCGACGCAGCUAACGCAUUAAGUGCCCCGCCUGGGGAGUACGAUCGCAAGAUUAAAACUCAAAGGAAUUGACGGGGCCCCGCACAAGCAGCGGAGCAUGCGGCUUAAUUCGACGCAACGCGAAGAACCUUACCAAGGCUUGACAUAUACAGGAAUAUGGCAGAGAUGUCAUAGCCGCAAGGUCUGUAUACAGGUGGUGCAUGGUUGUCGUCAGCUCGUGUCGUGAGAUGUUGGGUUAAGUCCCGCAACGAGCGCAACCCUCGUUCUGUGUUGCCAGCAUUUAGUUGGGGACUCACAGGAGACUGCCGGGGUCAACUCGGAGGAAGGUGGGGAUGACGUCAAAUCAUCAUGCCCCUUAUGUCUUGGGCUGCACGCAUGCUACAAUGGCUGGUACAAAGGGCUGCAAUACUGCAAAGUGGAGCGAAUCCCAAAAAGCCAGUCUCAGUUCGGAUUGGGGUCUGCAACUCGACCCCAUGAAGUCGGAGUUGCUAGUAAUCGUAGAUCAGCAACGCUACGGUGAAUACGUUCCCGGGGCUUGUACACACCGCCCGUCACAUCACGAAAGUCGGUAACACCCGAAGUCAGUGGCCCAACCGUAAGGGGG